GUAAUAUUGUUUCUGGAGCAUGUAACUUUCCAUGUAUUAAGGUUGCAGAGAAAGAGUUAUGUUGAUAUACUGAAUCUAGGGCAUUGGCUUAUCGUGGCACCUUUAACCACAUAUUCUUUUUAUCUUUUCAGUUCUUUUAGGGUAGAAUGUUGAAGUUCAGUAUUCACUUGUGCUCAUUUUCCAUGCCGAUACAACAUGGCUAGCGAGCUUAGGAGCGAUCUGGAGAAACUGAGUACCUCAUGCUAAAA